UGAGUAACACGUAUCCAACCUGCCGUCUACUCUUGGACAGCCAUCUGAAAGGAAGAUUAAUACAAGAUGGCAUCAUGAGUUCACAUGUUCACAUGAUUAAGGGUAUUCCGGUAGACGAUGGGGAUGCGUUCCAUUAGAUAGUAGGCGGGGUAACGGCCCACCUAGUCUUCGAUGGAUAGGGGUUCUGAGAGGAAGGUCCCCCACAUUGGAACUGAGACACGGUCCAA
rnacentral:rRNA from 1 species